GCUGAUAUGGCCGAGUCGUUAAGGCGAGUGAUUUGAAUCACGUUAUCAAUGUGACAAACAUCACUUGGGCGUUGCCCGCGUAGGUUCAAAUCCUGCUGUCAGCG